rnacentral:lncRNA from 1 species
AAUCCAAGACGGGGAUUAGAAAGGUUUUCAUCCCCAGCCUGGUGGUGGUGGUGCGGGGUGGUUUCCAGCCCACACCUGUGCAGGUGUGCGCGGUGGCUGCCUGCUGCAGGGCGGGCCCCAGGACUCGACCUGGUCCUACUGACGCACAACUCCUUAGAGAUCGCGGGGGCUGGUGACCUUCGGUUGGUGCAAUCUCGCUGGACAAAGGCCAGCUUUGAAGAAAGCAGAGAAACUGAGGAGGGCAAGGUGCUGAGGAGGGUCAGGGGAGCUGACCUUAUCUCCUCUUGCCAAGAAUGCAAGAGUGACUUCAGGCCCCCCCAGUCCCACCAGUCUCCCCAGUCCGCAGAAGGAGACAAGGUCACCUGCGAAAGGGUGGGGAACGAGUUUGCGCUGUCGGAGGGGGGCAGGGGCCGCUUCCCAGGCCGCCGGGAGCGGGGUCUGGCCGUUCCCACGGGUGCCCCCUCGGCAGAUGGGCCCAGGGCUCUUUGUCCCGGGUCUGCAGCCGCCACAAGGUCAAAUGUCACCGCGGGGCCGCGGGCAGGGGUCAAGGGGGCGGGGCCGGACUUCGACCCCCACCCCCCCAGCCCAGGAGGGCCCCAGGGGGCUCGGGGCCUUGGCGCUUGGGGAAGGGGGCAGGGCCGCCCUCGAGGGGUGGGACCUACCAGAGGUUCUAGGAUAUUCCCCCUUGCCUCCAAACCGGCCCUAGUACCCCGCAACUGGUGUCCCUCAAGCCCCAGGCCCCUGCCUCUCCACUCUCAGGUCCCCUUGACUCCCUUCCCUGAACCUGGUCUCCCAAGAUGCCUUCCUUCUCCCCUGCCCAAGAAUGCUGAAAAGUGCAGACCAGAGACCUGGGACCCCUGUCCUCAACCCCAAAUAACCAGCCAGCACCUCCAGAACAUUUCCAGGCAAUCCCAGAACAAAAUGGUCCUCUCUAACCAUCCAGACCCCCAUCUCCAGCAGGGCUUACAGGGCCGGGAAUUCCACUCUAGUCAGUCCUACAGAAAGUCCUCGCUCAUGUCUAACCACAGUCUUUUGGCUUCCUGCACUUGCUAA